rnacentral:rRNA from 1 species
UACGUAGGGGGCUAGCGUUGCUCGGAAUCACUGGGCGUAAAGCGCACGUAGGCGGAUUGUUAAGUCAGUGGUGAAAUCCUGGAGCUCAACUCCAGAACUGCCUUUGAUACUGGCGAUCUCGAGUCCGGGAGAGGUGAGUGGAACUGCGAGUGUAGAGGUGAAAUUCGUAGAUAUUCGCAAGAACACCAGUGGCGAAGGCGGCUCACUGGCCCGGUACUGACGCUGAGGUGCGAAAGCGUGGGGAGCAAACAGG